CCCAGACCGAUAGCGAACAAGUAGAGUGAUCGAAAGAUGAAAAGCACUUUGAAAAGAGAGUUAAACAGCACGUGAAAUUGUUGAAAGGGAAGCGCUUGCGACCAGACUCGCCCACGGGGUUCAGCCGGCAUUCGUGCCGGUGUACUUCCCCGCGGGCGGGCCAGCGUCGGUUUGGGCGGCCGGUCAAAGGCCCUCGGAAUGUAACGGCCCCCGGGGCGUCUUA
rnacentral:rRNA from 1 species